rnacentral:rRNA from 1 species
GAUGAACGCUAGCGAUAGGCUUAACACAUGCGAGUCGAGGGGCAGCACAUGAGUGGCAACACGAUGGUGGCGACCGGCGCACGGGUGAGUAACACGUAUGCAACCUGCCCAUAACUGGGGGAUAACCCGUCGAAAGGCGGACUAAUACCGCAUGACAACGAUGAUCCGCAUGGUGAUUCGUUUAAAGAUUUAUCGGUUAUGGAUGGGCAUGCGUUCCAUUAGGUAGUUGGCAGGGUAACGGCCUACCAAGCCUACGAUGGAUAGGGGUUCUGAGAGGAAGGUCCCCCACACUGGUACUGAGACACGGACCAGACUCCUACGGGAGGCGGCAGUGAGGAAUAUUGGUCAAUGGGCGAGAGCCUGAACCAGCCAAAUCGCGUGAAGGAUGAAGGUAUUAUGUAUUGUAAACUUCUUUUGUCGGGGAAUAAAGUGCAGCACGUGUGCUGUUUUGUAUGUACCCGAAGAAUAAGGAUCGGCUAACUCCGUGCCAGCCGCCGCCGUAAUAC